UGUCGAGUUCCGGAUGGUCAGUGAGUACGGCGUCAUUGUGCGCAUUGAUCUAUUCACUUCCGCCCUAACUCGCUAGUGACGUGUGACGUCUUUCCGGCUUGUUUUGCCAGUACUGUGUCGAGUUCCGGAUGGUCAGUGAGGAGCCUGCGGGGCCCCAGGUGGCCCAGUGGCUGGAGAGUUCUGAAAAGCACGUGCGGGACUUCCUGUUGGAGGGAGACGAGACUCCACCCCCUGAUCUCAGGGACCGCCUUAUCCGCUGCCUCCGACGUCACUGCCAACAACUUCCUCUCAGCUACAGCUUCACCCCAAUCUCCCAGCUCCUCUCCUUCCAGCAUUCCCCCUGUGUCUCCCUGUUGGGCUGGAGCACUGAGCGUUAUCAAAGAUGGUGGCAGGAGCAGGCAGAGUUCAAGGAAGCCACACCCUCCCCUUCCAACAAGCUCCUCCCCAGAGUUCACCUGCUGUUGGUUGGGUACAUCACGGACCUUCCUGCGGGGGAGGGUGCAAAGCAUGAUGGGAACUUGUACAUUAGAGACAGGAGCGGCUGUAUCCCCUGUGAGGUGUUGCACUUGGACCUGUCCUGUUUGGGGUCCCUGGUGGUGCUGCCAUGUUGGUCGUACAUUGUUCCCCGGUGCAAAGGAUCAGUGGGGGGGCACCUGGAGAUCAUUUCCCCCCCGGAACCCCUAAUUCCCUGUGUUGUUAGAGAGAACCCCCCGGACUGUGCAUCUGCUCUCACUCCCUAUAGUGCGUCUGCUCUGCUCAAGGACAGGCUGCACCCCAGGAACCCCCACGUCACUGUCACCGGCCGGGUGUCUCGUGUCACCUCCCUCCUUAACAUCCGCCACAAAACUUUCUUCUUCUUCUUCCUCCAAGAUCAGAGGAAAUGUCUCCAAAUUAUAGUGCAGGUUCCCUCCAGACUGAGCUGGUUCCAUGCACUGAGUGUGGGUGAUACGUACACCGUGACAUCACUCUCCAUUUCCUCUCUGCGUGGCUCCUCCCAUCGCGUUUUUGCCGUCACCUCCUCUUCCUGUCUCAUUUCAAGCCCAGAAUUACCCCCAUCCCAUCCUGUGUCCCCCGGUGAGGAGUUGAGUGAGUGCAGCCCCCCUGGCUCUGCUGGGCAUGAGAUGCAGGAGGAUCGCUCAUACCAAGAGAAGGUGAUGGGGGUAGGAGAUAAACAAGCCAAGACUCUGACCUAUCAGGGGUCGCUGACUCGUGUUCUAGACCCACAAGCAGGAUUAUAUGAGCUGGAUGGGAAGGUGCUGCUGUGCACAGUCUACCUGCAGCUGCUGAAUGGAGGGAGGGGCCUGAGAGAGGGCGCCAGAGUGGAGGUAUCGGACGCGCACCUCCAGCAGUCUCCCAGCCCCCUCUUCCCUCCCAUCGUCCUAACGUGCUGUCUCAGGAGCAGGGUGAGAGUCACCCAGUUCUCACGGCAUUGCACCCCGUUAUCACCCGUCUCCACAGCUGGAAAUCUUCACCUUCACCUCCUCUUCCGAUAUCACCUGAGACUGCCCGAGUACCUGUGGGCGUGUGACAUCGCUGUGAAACUGCGAGAGAAGUUGUGCCCAUCUCUGGUUAAGCAGCGGUGCCUCCAUGGAUCAUUUGCUUCUGGUCCCCCCGGUGUAACAGAGAAGCUUCUUUCCGAAACUCUCUCUUCUUUCUCACAAUUGGGGCUGAGGCAUGAGCGGGACCUGCAGGGAGAGAUCCUGAAAGAGCCUCACGAGUGUCCUCUGCGAGAGUAUUCUUCCCUCUCUCCUCCCUGGAGUCUCCCCGCACUCUCACUUCUCCAGUCUGUAGUCUCUGACGCCCAGUAUCUUCAGACUGAGGAAUCCACUCGAUCUCUGCGAUGGACCCAUCACUCCCUGCAACCCCAAGACCUUCGUCCUGGUCUGAGACUCCUUGGGGUGCUCCAUUCCUCUUCCUCGGGGCUCCUUGUGCUGAAGGACCAGACUCAGUCUCUCCCCUGCCUGGUCUUGCCCCGGCCCCCCAUUGCCUGGAUAGGCUGUACAAUAGAGGUGUGUCGCUAUUGGCUGCUCAGGGAGACAAUCCAGGACACAGAGAAGGAGGGGAAGACUAACUCAGUGACAUACAUUCAGUUCCUCUCGAGCGAUGCCCGAAUCCUGCACCCGUCCCACGGCUGCCAAACAUGCCCCCCGGCGACCUCCCAUCUGCCCCGACCACGUAAGCUGCCCAAGCUGGAGGGGUCGUUCGCCAGCCGACUCUUCUUGGUGAAGGGAGUAGAAGGGCUUGUGCCCAUUCCUGGCCAGGAGAGGGGAUGGCAGUUUCAGGCCCAAGCUGUGUGGCUGGGGGCACCACAACUAUUGGCCGAGGGAGAGGAGGAACAGAGAGCAUCAUGGGACAAGGACCACAGACCUUUAACCAAGGUCAUGCUCUUCUUCUGUCAUUCUGCCGCCCGAUGGUUUCACUUCCUGCAGCCCAACAGGGUCUAUCGUCUGAUUGCAACCGGAGAGCCGGAUCUGGAGAUAUUUCAGCACCAGCCUGAAGACUCCCUUCAGAUGUUCAGUUGCCCGGCGUGCUUCAGAAUCCCCUGUGAGUGGACCCUGCAGGACGUAGAGGCUCCUGACCCUCUACCUUGGCCAUCGGAGCUGGCACUCACUGUCGGAGAAACGCUGAAAAGCAGCUCUUCGGCCUCUCUCCUGAACAUUACAGGCGUGGUUACCCACCGCACCUUGUGUGACUCCCAGAACACACGUAUGUUCCCCGCAAGCAGCACCGUUACUGGGUCCUUCCUCCCACACGGCGUCUCCCUCAAGGUCACUUUGGCAGAGUUGGACAGUCAGGCUGUGGUGUCUGUUUAUAUGAACCAAUCCCGGGGCCCUUAUUCACUCGGGCUGCUGCCAGGGGCCACAGUGUUACUGCAAGGCUUAGAGAGGAAAAUCUCCGGGUCCGGUGGGGUGUAUCUGCGCAGUGUGUCCGUCACCCGUGUGAGUGUGCUGAGCCCUCCUGCUGAGAGCAAGGCAACUGUAGCCGAUCCCCAUCCUGCACAUCCCGCUCCGGAGUCUUCCGCGCUAAAGCCUGGGUCAAAGUGGAGGACGGCUCAGGAGAAUCCAGCAUACAGCUACAAGAUGAGGCGGUCCUGGCAGCACUCGGGGUCCCGCGGGGUUUGUGGGAGGCAUUGCAGGUCCGAGUCCUCUCUCAAGGGGAGGUCAAAGUUCAGAAUCGUGGGCGGAACUACGAGGUCCCGGGUGAAAUGCGAAGUGAGGACCCUCUCUCCUGCUAUGUGACCUACCUGAUUUCUCGCCCUGCUGUUUCUCGCCCUCUGAUCCUGACAUUUAAAGGGCUUGCUGGCUCUUCGAGGCCCCUCCCAGCAGAACCUUCACAUUUAAGGCGGUUCACCCGUGGGGAACGCGAUUACAUGACACACGUGCCACCACCCCCUACGCUUAUCUGUCUACAGCUGGAAGAAGUAGAGCCCCGGACCCUUUGUCAUCUGAUCCAAGAACGCAACUAAGUGAAAUAUAUUUCCAAUUUAUUCCUAUGUAUAUAUGCAUUAUUAGAUACAUUUAUAUUUCAUUAAAAAAAAAGUAACAAUU